rnacentral:lncRNA from 1 species
CUUCGUAUUAGCAAGACAAUAAAAAAAAAUCGAAACAAAGCUCUGCGUGAAAAAUUAAGAGCGGCAAAACUCCCGCUUUUGUUUCACCCACCUCAUAUCAUUUCAGCCCCCACACACAUUUUUGUCCACACACACUCACCUCACUCACCUUCUAUAAUCACCGGUGUCUUCAAACUCAGCUCUUCGACGAUUGGGUAACUUUUGGGGACAACUGAAUCGAGUUCUCUCUCAAUCGAUUUCAUCGUUAUUAGGGUUUUGGUUUCAGGUCUUCAAUCGCAGGCUUUGAUUCAAAGCUUCUUCAUUGAAUGGAACUAGGGCUUUAGAUUCAUAUUGCCUUGUAAUUUAUUUGAAAGAUUUGAAUUAGGGAUUUCAUUUUAGUUAUGUUAAUUUGUGUCUCGUUUGUUUCAGGACUUCAAUUAAAUUAGGGAUCCNCUUU